UAUACAAAUUUGCUUGCCCAACAGAAAAAUACACUGGACUCGGACGUCGGGCAAUGGGUUAUUUCCACCCCUGAUACUGACCACCAAAAGAAACGCAAUUUAAGAAAUGAAAACAAUUGUGUUAAAGUAUCAAAUCCAAACUCAUGCUGAAAAAGUAUAAUUUCCAUGAAUUCUGAGUUGCGUUUUUAUUGCUGGUCAGUAUAUAUACUAAGUAUGUGUUAGUCAUGCUUGUUAUGCAAACAUCUGUAAAACUGAUCAACAUGUUUCUCAUAUUGAAAACAUGAAAUUAGUAUUUUCUGUGUGAGAUACAGACAUUUUUCUAAAUAGACUUUUGGGCCUUUUUCAUUAAUAUGUUUUUUUUCUACAAGUUUCUGAAGAGUAACUUCAGUAGUAAGGUAAACAAAUAAUAUGUUGCUUUUGAAAAUGCAGAUCAUAGGACUCUUCCCUUUCUUUAUUUUGUAUGGUCAUUCAGUAAUUUCAUACCUAACUGACACGGCAUAAAACAAACUCACACAAACUUUUAGUUUCAUUUUACCAUUUUGGAAUUUUUGUCCUGCAGAUUUAAGUAAUUACUAAAUGAUUAUGUGAACAGUGUUCUACUUAAUUCAGAGGUAUCUACCAGGCUCCUGUUCCACGGGGCAAGCUUAGUACUCUGACUAUCCCUGUCGGUGUUAAUGUAUGGGAGCUAGGCCGUCUUAGUGCUAAGAUUGCUAUGUGGAACUGGGCCCAGCACUUGUAUCCAAGUCAGUGCAUCUUAUAUUUACUGGAACUUAAUGUUUACAGCCUUGAAGUUAGAUGACAAGGAACCCUUCUGUGUAGCCAUGUUAGAAGUUGUACAGAAAACAGCAUAAUGGUGCUUUCUGCACGAUUUGUUUACUUAAACGAACUGUAUGCAAAAAUGGAAACACUCUGAAUCUGUUGUAUGUAGAUUAGAUGAGGUUACAGCAGGUUAAUUAAUUGUUUGUUGAUUACAAUAUCGGGUUCAUGUAUGGGAUAAACGUGUGAAAAUGUAUUGUGAUUCACAGGGCCCAGUCAUUCAAAGUGAUCGUAGCGCUAAGAUGAUCGUAACUCCCAUACUUUAAUAUAGACUUACGACUGUCGUAGCGCUACGACAUUAAAUAUAACCAUGAGAUGUACGGUAUUCUCUGUAUUGUCCAUUGUUGAUAAUAAUUCUGCUGACAGCUUGAAGGUAUCACUUUGUGAAUUCUUGCAACCAUAUGCAUAGACACCAUUUUGAAAAUAUGCGACACAGAGAAAAAAUAUCAUCUUCAGUGGACUAUAAGGGACUGUUGAACAGUUUAUGUUAGAAAUUACUGUGUUCAAUCUUUAUUAACAUGCUGAGAAUUCCUGUUUCUUGAAGAUGUUUUCUGGAUAUUUUUGGUGUUGAAGAUUUGACAAACAAAUGAUUAGCUUACUGUGGCCUCAAAUAGGGUAAUGUUUUCAUGAUAUGUUGACGUGUUAUGAAUUUGUUUAUUGUAUGUCAAUGUCAUUUAUACCCGAUUCAGUUUCACAAGUGCUGUUACCAUGGUUACAUAGUCACUGUUGAAUCUUGUCACGUGUUUUGUACAUUUAACUUAUACUAUUUUAUGAACAAUGUAUGUACAAAUAGUGCUUGCAGAUGAAGGAAGUUGUCUUUCAUGGAUAGCGUUGAUGUUUGUGAGUUUUGAAAUGGCAUGUUGGGUCUUAAAACAUCAUUGGUAAAAUUCCAUUGGGUUCGUAUUUCAGCCCAGUUUGUUGAUGGCGUCAUACUAAAAGUAUACCAGACAAUGACCGCAUAUUUAACAGAUAUAGAAUAUCCAUUAUCUAUCAUAUUUUCAUUGAGACCAUUUUCACACUUUUAGAUGUUUUAUUGGUAUCUUAACGAUGUUGCUAAUCAUGAUUUGCUUGUGAUGUCAAUCAUCAUAUCAAUCAUAUCAAUCAUGGAUGAUUCUGCUCACGUCUUUAGUUGACAUUUUCUCAAUCAAGUAUGUUGACAAAUAUCAGAUAUUGAAAUCUCUUUAUUAAAAAUAUGGCUAAUGUUGUUGAUAUUGCAUUUGCUCCGCCUAUAUAUAGGCUUGACAAGGCUUGUAUAUACAGACUUGACUUGUAUGUAAGGCUUGACAUGGAUCCUAAAUAUAGGCUUGAUCUGGCUCUUGUAUACAAGCAUGACAUGGCCCCAGUAUAUAGGCUUGACAUAGUUCCUAUAUACAAGGUUGACAUGUCUCUUAUAUAAAGGCUUGACUUGGCUUGUAUAUACAGGCUUGACUUGGCUUGUAUAUACUGGCUUGACAUGGGUGUUACAUACAGGUUUGAUUUGGCUUGUAUAUACAGGCUUAACAUGGGUCUUACAUACAGGCUUGACUUGGCUUGUAUAUACAGGCUUGACAUGGAACAAGAUUCCUAUAUACAAGGUUGACAUGUCUCUUAUAUAAAGGCUUGACUUGGCUUGUAUAUACAGGCUUGACAUGGAACAAGAUUCCUAUAUACAAGGUUGACAUGUCUUUUAUAUAAAGGCUUGACAUGGCUUGUAUAUACAGGCUUGACUUGGCUUGUAUAUACAGGCUUGACAUCGAUCCUAAAUUUAGGCUUGACAUGGCUUUUAUUUAUAGGCUUGACAUGACCCUAUAUACAAGGUUGACAUGUCUCUUAUAUAAAGGCUUGACAUGGCUUGUAUACACAAGCUUGACUUGACUUGUAUAUACAGGCUUGACAUCGAUCCUAAAUAUAGGCUUGACAUGGCUUGUAUUUAUAGGCUUGACAUGACCCUAUAUACAAGGUUGAUAAGCUCCAAUGAUGUUUGACAUUACACUUAAUUAGCCUGUAUAGAUUAUAGUCUCUUCCAUGAUCAAAACACAGGGUUACACGAUAACCAAGUAUGUGCCAUGACAUUUGUAAUUAGUUUUGUCUUGAUUGUUUUUCAUGUAAAGUUUAUAUAUGACCCAGUUUGUUUCGCGUGAUGGUGCAUGAGGUUUACCCAGCUGUGACAAGCAUGAUGUUGGUAGCGUACAACAUUAUUUGUUUUUCUCUUUCCCUCCUAUAGUAUAACUCUGUUUUGGAGACAUAGAUAACUUAAGGCAGCAGGAAUGGAAGUAUGGAGUAUACAGGACGUUACCUGUAAAUGCUGGGUCCAGGCUUAGUUUGGGAGUGUGGUGUGAGAUGGGAGGGAUGGGAGGGUAUGAGGUGCUUCUCAUGACUGAUCUCUGUGACACUGAUGAGUGUAGGAUAUUCUGGGAUAGUAUUGAAUGUCAGCAAUAUCUGCUGUGUCUUUACUCUCUUCACUAAGGACAUACAAUCACACUGUAUAUGGAGUGUUCUCUUCAUGACCAUCUUGUCAAAAUAUUUGGGGUAAAAUAUGCCAAAUUAUGGAUUUCAAGUAAA